rnacentral:rRNA from 1 species
UGGGGAAUUUUGGACAAUGGGGGCAACCCUGAUCCAGCCAUGCCGCGUGAGUGAAGAAGGCCUUCGGGUUGUAAAGCUCUUUCGGCGGGAACGAAAAGGCCAUCUCUAAUACGGGUGGUCGAUGACGGUACUCGCAGAAGAAGCACCGGCUAACUACGUGCCAGCAGCCGCGGUAAUACGUAGGGUGCGAGCGUUAAUCGGAAUUACUGGGCGUAAAGCGUGCGCAGGCGGCUUUUUAAGCCAGACGUGAAAUCCCCGGGCUCAACCUGGGAAUGGCGUUUGGGACUGGAAGGCUUGAGUGCGGCAGAGGGAGGUGGAAUUCCUGGUGUAGCAGUGAAAUGCGUAGAUAUCAGGAGGAACACCGAUGGCGAAGGCAGCCUCCUGGGCCAGCACUGACGCUCAAGCACGAAAGCGUGGGGAGCAAACAGG